rnacentral:ncRNA from 2 species
UCCUUAUCCAGAGCGCCCGAGAGACCUGGCUCGCAGACGGCGCGGCAACCGGACCUCAUCACGUCACGGUGCCAAGGCCAGCCCACCGCCCCCAUCAACGAUGAUGG